rnacentral:rRNA from 1 species
UACAGAGGUCUCAAGCGUUGUUCGGAUUCAUUGGGCGUAAAGGGUGUGUAGGUGGCUCCGUAAGUCGGGUGUGAAAUUUCGGAGCUUAACUCCGAAACUGCAUUCGAUACUGCGGUGCUUGAGGACUGGAGAGGAGACUGGAAUUCAUGGUGUAGCAGUGAAAUGCGUAGAGAUCAUGAGGAAGACCAGUGGCGAAGGCGGGUCUCUGGACAGUUACUGACACUGAGACACGAAGGCCAGGGGAGCAAACGGG